rnacentral:lncRNA from 1 species
UAAUUUGGAACGGAGGGAGUACCAGAUUAAUCUUAACUCACUACAGUGGAACAAGAUAUGGAAGAGACAAAAAUUCUUUGCUUUGAUUCCCUACAUGAGUUUCCACAAUCCACAAGGUAUAUUUGUUAUUCCCCUUCUUUUCUGGUUUAUUACGAACAACGCUUAAGCAACAAUAAUAUUUUGGUUAGCCCAACAAACAGAAAUAUUGAAUGUUUAAUCAGACUGAAGAAAGUUUUACUUGAUGAUGAUUCAGUUGGUGCGCUCGACUAAACUUUGAGAGCUGUGUACACUCGAACGUUACAUCUAAUUGGCAAUUUUAUACAUGUCUUCUCUUUUUGGAAUCACACUCACAAAUCUAUGUUGGCAGAAAGGAUGAGCCCUGAAAUGUGAAGCACCGGUAACAUAUGGUUGAAUAUGCUUUAAGGGCAGGAGGCCACUAUCAUCAAUAGGAAAGAUGACUACUUGGAGUGGAGGCGACAUGGCUCUUGUGAUUAAACAUUUGGUCAGUAAGCUUGAUAAUGUCCCCGUGUUGUUGAUGUGUGUAAGCAGGGGAAUGGAUUGCCUUUGUAAUUAACCUCUAAUUUCUUGCCGCAUCAGCUAUGUGCUUUCUUGUUUAAUCUGCUUGAAAAUGCAUCUGCACACAAUAUCUUAGCUAGUGUUCCCAAUUGAAAACUUUCAGUUAGCCCUACAAGCUUUUUAUCCAAUCUCUAAUAAAUUGUAAAUUCAUCUUCCAAAAGAGGUGCAGCUGAUGAGCAGAUGAAGAUGGCAUGUCCAGAGCUAGUGGUUUCUAUCUCCAAAGAGAUCAUAUGACAAUGCUUUCUGCAUGCUGGCUUGGUGAUGUGUCGUAAUUAAUCUCGUGGAUUUAAUUAGUGCUAUGUGUAGUCAAGUGCUGAUGUUACUGCAGGUUUGAACUGCACAUGUUUUCUUGCUGAUGUUGCAGCAUCCUGCAACUGUCGAGUUAUCGAUUUUAUGAAACUACAUGGUUUUGUCAGCCGUUCUGCUUGUUUAAUAUGCAAAAUUUGUUUUC